rnacentral:misc_RNA from 1 species
GAUGAAGAACGUAGCGAAAUGCGAUACGUAAUGUGAAUUGCAAAUUCAGUGAAUCAUCGAGUCUUUGAACGCACAUUGCGCCCCCUGGUAUUCCGGGGGGCAUGCCUGUCCGAGCGUCAUUGCUGCCCUCAAGCACGGCUUGUGUGUUGGGCCCCGUCCUCCGAUCCCGGGGGACGGGCCCGAAAGGCAGCGGCGGCACCGCGUCCGGUCCUCGAGCGUAAGGGGCUUUGUCACCCGCUCUGUAGGCCCGGCCGGCGCUUGCCGAUCAACCCAAAUUUUUAUCCAGGUUGACCUCGGAUCAGGUAGGGAUACCCGCUGAACUUAAGCAUAUCAAUAAGCGGAGGA